ensembl:lncRNA
ACCUGUGUAGGUGUACAACCACUGGUUUCGAAUUGAAUUUAUCGUUACCAUUUGGAUGACGCUACCCCCCUAAUGUUACCACACAGACACACAGAUCGGAGUUGAUCACUUGCAAAGAUCGGAUUUGUUCUGACAGUGUGCCUAUUUGUUCUGACUUGUGUGACCCUACUGUAGUCCUAAAUCAAUAACGUCAAAUCUAAGUAAAUCACACAGCUUUUGUAGAUCAGAGAUAGUAAUUUAUUAAUGUAUUGAUGCAUAAAACACAAAUUAAACUAAAACAAAUUCAAUGCUUAUGGAAUUUAGCAAAAUGUCCUUAUUGCUGAGAAUGAUCUUUACUGUGAAACAUAUGUGUAUUUUAUGCAUAGGAGCUUACCACCAAUCUCUUUGGCUCUUACAUGAUUCUGUCAGUCUGAGAUUUAAAAUGUAAUUAUGCAAAAUAAGUUCUUACAUAAACUAUGUGAAAAUAUACACUCAUUGUUAAACUUUAGAUUUUGUCUGUUUUGCUGGUCCGAAGCCGAGUGCAAUUAUUCUCCCUCCUGCCCCCUGCUGGUCUCCUUUCACUUAAGCACUUCUAUAUACCAACAUUGUUAAGCAACAAUGCAAAGUAAAGGAGAAAAAACAGAAAGCCACAUCGUAUCUGUUUUUUUCUUUUCUUCAUCUGUUUGUUUGGUUAUUUUUACUCCGCCAACAAUGAUGCUAGCUGUAUCCCCCAGUACCCCAGACCCCCAAUUGUCUGAAGAACUCUGGUAACUUGGACCAUUUCGGUCCCUUGGUGUGCACCCAAGUUCGGAAAACAGCUUUCACAUAAAAAAACAAACCAACCUAUCGAUUCUAGCGGACCCCGGCUCUCACCUACCAUGAUAUUUUCAACAUGCUAGUCUGCAAAUGUAUGAAAAUAAAACUCUUUCUGUUUUCAAGAUGAACACAAAAACAUCAGUGAACAGGAUGGCACGUUAGGCCUUUUCCCAAUCCACAUCAUAAGGCAUUCAUCCCUUCCACAGACUUGUACGAGCAACAGCAACAUUGGAUGUCAGCCUCGCUUUACUGUCCGUCAACCUUGUCUGCAAGAGAGAGAAGAUAAGACAUAUUCAAUAUCAGACUACA